CAUGCAAGUCGAGCGCCCCGCAAGGGGAGCGGCAGACGGGAGAGUAACACGUGGGAACGUGCCCUUUGGUUCGGAACAACACAGGGAAACUUGUGCUAAUACCGGAUAAGCCCUUACGGGGAAAGAUUUAUCGCCAAUGGAGCGGCCCGCGUCUGAUUAGCUAGUUGGUGAGGUAACGGCUCACCAAGGCGACGAUCAGUAGCUGGUCUGAGAGGAUGAUCAGCCUCACUGGGACUGAGACACGGCCCAGACUCCUACGGGAGGCAGCAGUGGGGAAUAUUGGACAAUGGGCGCAAGCCUGAUCCAGCCAUGCCGCGUGGGUGAUGAAGGCCCUAGGGUUGUAAAGCCCUUUCGGCGGGGAAGAUAAUGACGGUACCCGCAGAAGAAGCCCCGGCUAACUUCGUGCCAGCAGCCGCGGUAAUACGAAGGGGGCUAGCGUUGCUCGGAAUCACUGGGCGUAAAGCGCACGUAGGCGGCUUUUUAAGUCAGGGGUGAAAUCCUGGAGCUCAACUCCAGAACUGCCUUUGAUACUGAGAAGCUUGAGUCCGGGAGAGGUGAGUGGAACUGCGAGUGUAGAGGUGAAAUUCGUAGAUAUUCGCAAGAACACCAGUGGCGAAGGCGGCUCACUGGCCCGGUACUGACGCUGA
rnacentral:rRNA from 1 species